rnacentral:rRNA from 1 species
CACGUAGGGGGCAAGCGUUGUCCGGAUUCAUUGGGCGUAAAGGGCGCGUAGGCGGCUUGACAAAUCAAAGGUGAAAUCCCUCGGCUCAACUGAGGAACUGCCUUUGAAACUGUCUGGCUUGAGGCCGGGAGGGGGUAGCGGAAUUCCCAGUGUAGCGGUGAAAUGCGUAGAUAUUGGGAGGAACACCAGUGGCGAAGGCGGCUACCUGGACCGGUUCUGACGCUGAUGCGCGAAAGCGUGGGUAGCAAACAGG